rnacentral:rRNA from 1 species
AUUGAACGCUGGCGGCAUGCCUUACACAUGCAAGUCGAACGGCAGCACGGGAGCAAUCCUGGUGGCGAGUGGCGAACGGGUGAGUAAUAUAUCGGAACGUGCCCGGUCGUGGGGAUAACGUAGCGAAAGCUACGCUAAUACCGCAUACGAUCUACGGAUGAAAGCGGGGGAUCGCAAGACCUCGCGCGAUUGGAGCGGCCGAUAUCAGAUUAGGUAGUUGGUGAGGUAAAGGCUCACCAAGCCGACGAUCUGUAGCUGGUCUGAGAGGACGACCAGCCACACUGGGACUGAGACACGGCCCAGGCUCCUACGGGAGGCAGCAGUGGGGAAUUUUGGACAAUGGGCGCAAGCCUGAUCCAGCAUGCCGCGUGCAGGAUGAAGGCCU